rnacentral:rRNA from 1 species
UACGUAGGGUGCAGCGUUGUCCGGAUUAUUGGGCGUAAAGAGCUCGUAGGCGGCUUGUCGCGUCGAAUGUGAAAACCCACGGCUCAACUGUGGCUUGCAUUCGAUACGGGCAGGCUAGAGUUCGGUAGGGGAGACUGGAAUUCCUGGUGUAGCGGUGAAAUGCGCAGAUAUCAGGAGGAACACCGGUGGCGAAGGCAGGCCCCUG